GAGUUUGAUCCUGGCUCAGAUUGAACGCUGGCGGCAUGCCUUACACAUGCAAGUCGAACGGCAGCACGGGAGCUUGCUCCUGGUGGCGAGUGGCGAACGGGUGAGUAAUGCAUCGGAACGUAUCCUGGAGUGGGGGAUAACGUAGCGAAAGUUACGCUAAUACCGCAUAUUCUGUGAGCAGGAAAGCGGGGGACCUUCGGGCCCCGCGCUCUUGGAGCGGCCGAUGUCGGAUUAGCUAGUUGGUGAGGUAAAGGCUCACCAAGGCGACGAUCCGUAGCAGGUCUGAGAGGAUGAUCAGUCACACUGGAACUGAGACACGGUCCAGACUCCUACGGGAGGCAGCAGUGGGAAUAUUGGACAAUGGGCGAAAGCCUGAUCCAGCCAUGCCGCGUGUGUGAAGAAGGUCUUCGGAUUGUAAAGCACUUUAAGUUGGGAGGAAGGGCAGUAAGUUAAUACCUUGCUGUUUUGACGUUACCGACAGAAUAAGUACGGCUAACUCUGUGCCAGCCG
rnacentral:rRNA from 1 species